UACGUAGGGGGCAAGCGUUGUCCGGAUUUAUUGGGCGUAAAGAGCGUGUAGGCGGCUUUACAGGUCCGUUGUGAAAACUCGAGGCUCAACCUCGAGACGCCGGUGGAAACCGUAAAGCUAGAGUCCGGAAGAGGAGAGUGGAAUUCCUGGUGUAGCGGUGAAAUGCGCAGAUAUCAGGAAGAACACCCGUGGCGAAGGCGGCUCCCUGGUCCGUUACUGACGCUGAGACGCGAAAGCGCGGGGAGCGAACGGG
rnacentral:rRNA from 1 species